rnacentral:lncRNA from 1 species
GCGGCCGCGCCCCCCCUCCAGUGACGCGGCGCCGCCUCCUGUUCCCUCCCCCUGGCCGUGCAGAUACUUCGGAUGCCACUAGUUUGGGAAGUUGCAGAUCCGAGCCUAGCGGGGCAGCCGGGAGCCCCAGCGCCCCCAGACGCGCGUGGGAAGCGGCCUCCCCUCCCGACCUUGAGGGAGGAGAGCCGGGCGGGCGUCCAGACAGGCGGUCCCUCGGGCCUCUGGAGCUGGGGGCGCCUAGCAGCGGCGGCUGAAUAAUCUUUACAUUGUAGCUUUAUUCGCACAGCCAGGUCCACCCGCCGGCGUGCGCGCGCCCUCCCCGAGAGUCUGGUGCAGGCAGCGGGGGCGGAUCCGUUCGUUCUCAGCCUCCUCCCUUCCUCUCCUUCUCCUCCCCCCUGUUGCGCUCCUGAGUCUUUGAGGAACACAGCCUCCCGGUGGAAGUUUCUGGUACCUGUGACGAGGUCACCGGCCAGCAGAUGACCGAGACCAGCCCCUAGUCCUAGGUGUGGUCAAGAGUGUAUUGGGUUCCAAAGCCUUCCUGGACCCUACCACCAUGUCAGGAUCCACACAGC